rnacentral:rRNA from 1 species
UACAGAGGGGGCAAGCGUUAUUCGGAAUUAUUGGGCGUAAAGGGCGCGUAGGCGGCUUGGCAAGUGGACGGUGAAAUCCCUCGGCUUAACCGAGGAACUGCCGUCCAAACUGCUUCGCUUGAGACCGGGAGAGGUGAGUGGAAUUCCGCGUGUAGCAGUGAAAUGCGUAGAUAUGCGGAGGAACACCGAUGGCGAAGGCAAUCCCCUGGACCUGUACUGACGCUCAUGCACGAAAGCGUGGGGAGCAAACAGG